rnacentral:rRNA from 1 species
AAACCAACAGGGAUUGCCUCAGUAACGGCGAGUGAAGCGGCAACAGCUCAAAUUUGAAAUCUGGCCUCUUGGGGUCCGAGUUGUAAUUUGUAGAGGAUGUUUUGGGUACCGCUCCGGUUUAAAUUUCUUGGAACAGAAUGUCAAAGAGGGUGAGAAUCCCGUCUUGGAUCGGUGUAGGGCCUGUGUAAAACUCCUUCGACGAGUCGAGUUGUUUGGGAAUGCAGCUCAAAAUGGGUGGUAAAUUUCAUCUAAAGCUAAAUAUUGGCCAGAGACCGAUAGCGCACAAGUAGAGUGAUCGAAAGAUGAAAAGCACUUUGAAAAGAGAGUUAAACAGUAUGUGAAAUUGUUGAAAGGGAAGCGCUUGCAACCAGACUUGAGCGCGGCGGUUCCCCUGACCUUUUGGUCAGGUUACUCCGUCGUGUCCAGGCCAACAUCGGUUCGGAGGGUCGGUUAAAGGCCUUGGGAAUGUAUCUACUCACGGGUAGACUUAUAGACCAGGGUGUCAUGCGACCUCUCGGGACCGAGGAACGCGCUUCGGCUCGGAUGUUGGCGUAAUGGUUGUCAGCGAC